UUUUUGGUCCGAGCGGCGACGGGUGAGUAACACGUGGGUGAUCUGCCCUGCACUUCGGGAUAAGCCUGGGAAACUGGGUCUAAUACCGGAUAUGACCUCCUAUCGCAUGGUGGGUGGUGGAAAGAUUUAUCGGUGCAGGAUGGGCCCGCGGCCUAUCAGCUUGUUGGUGGGGUAAUGGCCUACCAAGGCGACGACGGGUAGCCGACCUGAGAGGGUGACCGGCCACACUGGGACUGAGACACGGCCCAGACUCCUACGGGAGGCAGCAGUGGGGAAUAUUGCACAAUGGGCGAAAGCCUGAUGCAGCGACGCCGCGUGAGGGAUGACGGCCUUCGGGUUGUAAACCUCUUUCAGCAGGGACGAAGCGCAAGUGACGGUACCUGCAGAAGAAGCACCGGCUAACUACGUGCCAGCAGCCGCGGUAAUACGUAGGGUGCAAGCGUUGUCCGGAAUUACUGGGCGUAAAGAGUUCGUAGGCGGUUUGUCGCGUCGUUUGUGAAAACCAGCAGCUCAACUGCUGGCUUGCAGGCGAUACGGGCAGACUUGAGUACUGCAGGGGAGACUGGAAUUCCUGGUGUAGCGGUGAAAUGCGCAGAUAUCAGGAGGAACACCGGUGGCGAAGGCGGGUCUCUGGGCAGUAACUGACGCUGAGGAACGAAAGCGUGGGUAGCGAACAGGAUUAGAUACCCUGGUAGUCCACGCCGUAAACGGUGGGCGCUAGGUGUGGGUUCCUUCCACGGAAUCCGUGCCGUAGCUAACGCAUUAGCGCCCCGCCUGGGGAGUACGCGGCAGCUAAACUCAAGAUGACGGGGCCGCACAGCGCGAGCAUGUGAUAUUUCGAUGCAACGCG
rnacentral:rRNA from 1 species